rnacentral:rRNA from 1 species
UACAGAGGGUGCGAGCGUUGUUCGGAAUUACUGGGCGUAAAGCGUGCGCAGGCGGUUUUGUAAGUUUGUCGUGAAAGCCCCGGGCUCAACCUGGGAAUUGCGAUGAGACUGACAAGGCUUGAAUCGGUGGCAGAGGGGGGUAGAAUUCCACGUGUAGCAGUGAAAUGCGUAGAGAUGUGGAGGAACACCGAUGGCGAAGGCAGCCCCCUGGGUCAAGACUGACGCUCAUGCACGAAAGCGUGGGGAGCAAACGGG